UACAGAGGAUGCAAGCGUUAUCCGGAAUGAUUGGGCGUAAAGCAUCUGUAGGUGACUUUUUAAGUCCGCCGUCAAAUCCUAGGGCUCAACCCUGGACAGGCGGUGGAAACUACCAAGCCGGAGUACGGUAGGGGUAGAGGGAAUUUUCGGUGGAGCGGUGAAAUGCGUAGAAAUCGAAAAGAACACCAACGACGAAAGCACUCUGCUGGGCCGACAAUGACACUGAGAGACGAAAGCUAGGGGAGCGAAUGGG
rnacentral:rRNA from 1 species